rnacentral:misc_RNA from 1 species
UCAUUGUGGAGGGAAGCGAUCGACCCAAAAGAUAUCGGCAUGUCGCGACUUCACCCAACAAACGUUACGACACCAAUGGAAGCGGUGACGUGACAAAGAUUGAGGUGGUGCUCGAGGAGGCACCAGAUGCUGUCAUUGUUGGGUCCAUGUCAUCGGAAUUGGAGGCUACCACCGAACUCAAUUCGACCUUUCCCGACGGGAUUGCAGGAACCGGUGCGGUAGUGGUGCGAGCGGAAGAGGCCCUGAUCGUCGUUUUUGUCCUGAUUCUGUGGGUGGCUGCCAUCGCUUUGUUCUUCAAUCGAUGGGGCAAGAUCCGCAUGCUCGAGCCAUAUCAGCCGAAAUUUCAGCAACAACACAGACCAAGCUGCACGAUAGUUGAUCCAAGCCCACUUCAGCACCGAAGCUACUCGAAGUUCAACAUCCACUGCCUGGAGCACCCGGUGCACCAGAUGAGCUGCGGCUCGGCGGGCGUGCCGGUCGCCCGGCUGCGCCAGAACAGCGUGUUCGUGGGUUCGAGCACGUCGUUGCUGCCGACCAGCCAGGAGACGCCGAGGCGCGCCAAGAGCGCGUUCGAUCUGCAGUCGCUGGUGCACGCGGAGGGCGCGGGGAUGCAGAACGAGGACGAGGAACGCGACGGCGACACGCUGAGGACUCUCAGAUCCAUCGGCGAGUCGUCGCGUCUGCUGCAGCGCGAACGCCGUCAGAGCACCUAUCACUUCGACCGGAUGGACGUGCUGGCGCGACCGACGCAGCGCGAGCGCGGCAUGAGCAUCUGCCAAUUUGACAGGACGGACGUUCCGACCAGGUCGUUGCAGAGGGACCGUGGCAUGAGCAUUUGCCACUUCGAUCGGAUGGACGUCCUGGCCAGGCCGCUGCAGCGGGAUCGCGGCAUGAGUAUCUGCCACUUCGACCGGACGGAUGUUCUAGCGAGGCCGCAGCGCGAUCGCGGCAACAGCAUCUGUCACUUCGACCGAACGGAGGUGCUGGCGAGACCGACGUUUCCGCCCGGCAAAUGCCUGCUACGGGAGCGGCGCGUCAGCGUGUGCAAUUUUAUGGAUAGAAGCGAGGAGCCGUUGGGCGGCAGAAGCUUCUUGCAGCGGAACAAGCGAUUCAGCGUCAGCAACGUUGACAAAAUCGAGACGCUGGGGAAAUGCGUGUCGUCCAGAGACUUCCGCGGCAGCAUCAGCAACAUGGCGGAGAACAAGCAGGACAGCCUGACGAAGUGCGGCGCGAUUAGGGAGAGGAACAACUCCGUGAGUCACCACUUCGAUCGACCGUCUUGCAGCAAGACGCCCGACGUCGUGCUCGGAUACAAAGCGACGUGCGUUUAAUCGCGGAUCCCUUCCGGGAAGUUUCGCCAGCACGCAGGAAACGGCGCCGUAACGUUCUCAACUAUGGUCCAGGAUUUCCUUCGGAUGAAACUUCGGCUCCAUUGGAAAGCUUUUUCAGAUUCAAUACAUGAUUUUAAUGGAGUUGCACGCGCGUGCGACAAGGAUUGAGGGAUCGCAAGACCGCAUGAACUUCCUGCAGAAUCAGCAUCGGCACAUUCCACUUAGACUGUUGCUUUUUCUUAUCAUUUUUUCUUGCAACGAACUUGAAACUGGGGCAACUAUUUCAUCGUGGUUUGCUCUCCAGCCGGUGGGGUUGUGAGAAAAUGAAGUGCUUCGGCGAAGACGAAGGUGAACUUGCGGGAUCUGGAAAUGAGGAGCUCGUGGAAAAAUGCGAUUCGCUGGCAGCUAUCAAAAGUUUCACGGACGCACUUGCGACAAGACACGAAACAGCGACUGUAAAGAAAACGUCUCAGAAGAUUUCGUUGACUGGCUGGUAAGUCUCUUUCUUGCACCUUUAAUAGUUCAAUGUGCUAGAAGUUUAGAAAUCAUCUAAAUUUCGCAAUUUUCAGAACUGCCUUACAGUUGUCAAUAUUAAUAUAAUCUUGUACUAUUACUUUUACAACUACUUUUCACGAGCGUCUCAGAGUUUAUAUAUUGAAAAUUGUAGUAAUAUUUUUAUUGCAUCACCACUUUUUAUGAUUUCUCGUACAGCACAUCUUGUGCGUAUA